rnacentral:lncRNA from 1 species
AGAUUAGAUUAUGACUUUAAGAUACAGAACGUUUAAGUAAUUAGGACAUAUGUGGUUUUUUAAACGAGUAUUAUGGUAUUUUAAAAUUUUAAAAUUAUUUUUAUGUACAUGGAACGUCUAAUUAAUUUUUAAAAAAAAAAUUAAAAUAAUAUUUAUUUAGUAAGUGAUAUGUACAUAACUAAUUAGCUAUAUAUAAUAAUAUGUACUAUAUAUUUAUAGAUAUGUAUAAUUAAUUAAUUAUAUAUAAUAAUACUAUUUAAUAUAUCGGAAGUAAAUAUUUUGUUAAGAUAUAAUAUAUCCUCAUAUAUAUAAAUAUAUAUUAUUAAUAACAAUAUAUAAUAUGAGUCCGGCUGGUAUGCUAUCGAUAUCACCAAACACUUGGUACUAUCAAAUUUUCUGCCAUUAGAUUAACUCCAUCGAUUAUUUUUACCCAUUAAAUUAUAAUAUUCAACCAACCACCCACUCAACCCUAGGGGGCCCACAUCAUCUUAACCGCACAUCUUUUAAUCCAAGGGCGGAAAACUUAAUAGCACCAAGUCAUUGGUGCUAUUAAUAGUAUUCCAGUCUAGUUCUAUAUAAUAUAUAUAUCAUAUACUAUAUCAUUUAUUCCUUUUAUAGAUAAAUAUUACAUAUAUAUAUAAUUAAAUAUUUUAUUUUAAUAAUUUAUAUAUCGGACUUUUGGGU